UGCAAUGAAACAAUUUCUAAAAUCAACAAAGGGGAAUGGUGCGAUUUUUUUUCUCAACAGAGAUGAAUAAGACGUUCAAAGCGAUCCAAUGAGCUUUGUUGGAAGCCCACAGAAGGCUGUCUAACCGAUCCUUGGUGGGUAAUAUGGAGAUGAUCUUGGGGGAGAAGAAGGAGGAUUGGGUGACCUGUCAGCAUUGUCAAGACAUCCGGAGCAGGACUCACAGGGAAACCACGUGUGAGCAUGCGGCAGUCAUACCAAGUGGCACUUGAG
rnacentral:lncRNA from 11 species